UGUUCCAGAAUGUCAGUCUGAGUCUUAUUCAUGAUGUUGCAGGAAGUCUGUAUGAUGGACGAAAAAACUGGAGGUGACUAGAAGCUGCCGAUGAGCUGCCAGUCUGUAUGGCAGCUAUCAACACGGAAAGGGCCUGCAGGCGCAUCAGCCCUCCCCCCAUUCCUCUACUGCCAUUGGAGACAGGAUUCUUUGUAAAAGAUUGUUUGUUUUCUUCAGUGGGAGCUCAUGAAGGUGGCACUGUGCACAGAGGGACAGAGUGGCUGACAGUGAGUUGCCCAAGAGAACCUGCUGGCUCUCGUGACCAUCUCCGAAAGCCUCUGGAUGGGCUAAUUGACAGGCGUGCCUGGACAUUUAUAAAAGGCUGCUCUUAUAUGCACCAUGAAGAUAUC
rnacentral:lncRNA from 1 species